UGGGGAAUCUUGCACAAUGGAGGAAACUCUGAUGCAGCGACGCCGCGUGAGCGAUGAAGCCCUUCGGGGUGUAAAGCUCUUUCGACGGGAACGAUAAUGACGGUACCCGAAGAAGAAGCUGCGGCUAACUACGUGCCAGCAGCCGCGGUAAUACGUAGGCAGCAAGCGUUGUUCGGAAUUACUGGGCGUAAAGAGUGUGUAGGCGGUGUUCUAAGUCUGUUGUGAAAUCUCCCGGCUUAACUGGGAGGGUGCGGCGGAGACUGGAAUGCUAGAGUAUGGGAGAGGUAAGCGGAAUUCCUGGUGUAGCGGUGAAAUGCGUAGAUAUCAGGAGGAACACCUGUGGUGUAGACAGCUUACUGGACCAUGACUGACGCUGAGACACGAAAGCGUGGGUAGCAAACAGGAUUAGAUACCCUGGUAGUCCUAGCCCUAAACGAUGAUCGCUUGGUGUGACAGGUACCCAAUCCUGUCGUGCCGGAGCUAACGCGUUAAGCGAUCCGCCUGGGGAGUACGGUCGCAAGGCUG
rnacentral:rRNA from 1 species